rnacentral:rRNA from 1 species
AAUAUUUUACAAGGGGGGCAACCCUGAUCCAGCCAUGCCGCGCGUGUGAAGAAGGACUUCGGAUUGUUAAGCACUUUAAGUUGGGAGGAAGGGCUUUAGGUUAAUACCCUACAGUUUUGACGUUACCAACAGAAUAAGCACCGGACAACUCUGUUCCAGCAGCCGCGGUAAUACAGAGGGUGCAAGCGUUAAUUGGAAUUACUGGGCGUAAAGCGCGCGUAGGUGGUUCAGUAAGAUGGGUGUGAAAUCCCCGGGCUUAACCUGGGAACUGCUUUCAUAACUGCUGAGCUAGAGUACGGUAGAGGGUAGUGGAAUUUCCUGUGUAGCGGUGAAAUGCGUAGAUAUAGGAAGGAACACCAGUGGCGAAGGCGACUACCUGGACUGAUACUGACACUGAGAUGCGAAAGAGUGGGGAGCAAAC